GAGUGUAUUAUAGCAGCAAGGCAUAUCUUGUUUUAGCAUGCUCUAUUCAGUUGGAAUUGAUAGCCUUACUUUGACCUUUGAGUUCACGACGACAUUACACAUUCCUCUUUGGACGUCUUUUGGCCGGUCUCUAUGGUAGCCAUAUCAGCUGCUUGAGAUAUUGCCCAAUUUGCUCUUCUCAUCUGUCUUUCUUGAACAGAGUGUUGUUGCAACCAAGAGUACCAUACUUGUCCAACGCUAUCACCUAAGCUAGCCAUAAGGUCCGGCCUUUACUGGUAAUUCUAUAUUCCCCAUUUAGCACUCUAUGCACUUCAUGUGUUAGGCAUGGGAUACCUACUAAUUCCCCCGUGAUUCGAGAGCGGCAGUGAUUAACUAGCUCGGGGAGCCAG
rnacentral:sRNA from 1 species